AUUGAACGUUGGCGGCAUGCUUUACACAUGCAAGUCGAACGGUAACAGGUCGCAAGGUGCUGAUGAGUGGCGAAUGGGUGAGUAAUGUAUCGGAACGUGUUCAGUCGUGGGGGAUAAUGCAGUGAAAGUUGCGCUAAUACCGUAUACGAUCUCUGGAUGAAAGUGGGGGAUUGUAAGGUUUCGCGCGAUUGGAGUGGGCGAUGUCAGAUUAGGUAGUUGGUGGGGUAAAGGUUCAUCAAGUCAAUGAUCUGUAGUUGGUCUGAGAGGAUGAUCAGUUACAGUGGGACUGAGACAUGGUUUAGAUUCCUAUGGGAGGUAGUAGUGGGGAAUUUUGGACAAUGGGUGCAAGUUUGAUCCAGUAAUGUCGCGUGUAGGAAGAAGGUUUUCGGGUUGUAAAUUGUUUUUGUACGGAACGAAAUGGUCCUGGUUAAUACCUGGGGUUAAUGAUGGUGUUGUAAGAAUAAGUAUCGGUUAACUAUGUGCCAGCAGCCGCCGUAAAAC
rnacentral:rRNA from 1 species